rnacentral:tRNA from 1 species
AAGGCUCUAGCUUAAUUAAAGUGUCUGUUUUGCAAGUAGAAGAUGUGGGUUAGUGUCCCGUGAGUCUUA